rnacentral:rRNA from 1 species
UACGUAGGGGGCUAGCGUUGUCCGGAAUCAUUGGGCGUAAAGAGCGUGUAGGCGGCCCGGUAAGUCCGCUGUGAAAGUCGGGGGCUCAACCCUCGAAUGCCGGUGGAUACUGUCGGGCUAGAGUGCGGAGGAGGCGAGUGGAAUUCCUGGUGUAGCGGUGAAAUGCGCAGAUAUCAGGAAGAACACCCGUGGCGAAAGCGGCUCUCUGGAACGGUACUGACGCUGAGACGCGAAAGCGUGGGGAGCGAACAGG